rnacentral:rRNA from 1 species
UACAGAGGCCCCAAGCGUUACUGAGAAUCACUGGGUUUAAAGGGUGCGUAGGUGGCGCGUUAAGUCCGUUGUGAAAGCCCUGGGCUCAACCCAGGAACUGCUUCGGAUACUGGCGCGCUUGAGGCUAGUAGGGGUCACUGGAACUGACGGUGGAGCGGUGAAAUGCGUAGAUAUCGUCAGGAACGCCAAUGGUGAAGACAGGUGACUGGGCUAGUUCUGACGCUGAGGUGCGAAAGCGUGGGGAGCAAACAGG